AGCAUUGGUACACUUUUGCUCUGAGCUGUUGCAAGAAUUAACUGCUCUGAGGGAUCUUCUGCUCCUUGAGGUACCCUGCAAAUUUCUCAGCAGUUGCAGCCAGAGGUCCGGUGCUGACCAUAGCUUCAAGCCCGGGGCCAGGGAUCCCUAGCAAAAGCAGCAAACCGUUGCUCGGUCAGUAUGCACAUGGACGACUUGAGGAAUUUUUUUUUGAAAGCAUACGAGUUGAGGAUUGAAGGGUGGUUUCUAGAUAUCUGACCUGGAGCAAAUGUGAGCUCCAAGAUGGUGCCGACGUCGCCGUCGCCGCUCACGAGCUGUAUCUUGGCGAGCACCUGCGGGAGAAGCUCUGGCAGCAGCUCGGCCGCACGGAGCGUGCCGUAGAGCCCCCAUAGCUCGGCGGCGGGCACAUCGGCCUCGAACUCGUGAACCUUGUUCCUCCUCAUCGCCAUGGACUUGAUGGACUGUGUGUGACGAGGGAAGUGUCUGUCAACCAAGAAGCUGAUGGAGUUCAGUGUGUGACGGUGUUUACAACUGAAACUGAUUAACUGUAUAUAUAGGCAAGUCGGGUAUGAGUUAUGACAAGUGAACACGGCUUAAAGUCUUCGCUCGGAAUCUCGAAGGUUGAGAUGCCACGGUGACAACGAGGGGCGCGCUUUUGGCUGGAGUUAUCCUGGCAUUGUUUUGGCUGAAGUUAAAUAUUGGGUGGUUUCCCUUGGAGGCAAAUAAAGGAGGCAAAUAAAGUAUUUGCGUGGUUUGCGGGCCUGAAGCUUACUAUAUUGUGCAUUUUGGCCUGCCUGGACCAGUGGACAAAGCGAUUCUCUUCCUGUAAGCCCCCUUUAUUUUUUCUUAUUUUGGAGAACUGAUUCCUCCAUAAGCACUUGGUUCUCGCCAACAUGUCUGAUUGCGUCCGUCUC